CAGAUGCCUUUGCACAUGUGGUACCUGAAUGUAAAAGUCAUUACAACUACAGAGGACCACUGGCAUCAAACCAGAGGUGCCUGAACAGUUGCAGAGAAGUAUGUAUUAUGCUGAUGUCUUUAACACUUCCAGUCACUGCUGAUGUUAGUGGUAGCAAUCUGGGAAACAGGUAAAACACAUGCCAUUAUAUUUUACCAGUAUAUCACCGAAUAACACUUGGAGCAGGUCUGGUACAAUGGCAGCCAAGAGCAGCGCUGUGCAGUCUGAGAGCCUGCAAACAAUGUUGCAUCCCUGCUCUUCAAGUUUACAUUUAGGCCCUCUUAAGCAGUACUUUUUGGCUUCCCUGUUGCUGUUGUCCAAAGGAAUUUAUAAGAGUAAUGCCACAGCCCAGCCAGCUACCUGUGUAAACAUCUUUAUUUGCACAACAUUCCCCUCCCUCUCAACACGCUCUUUUCCAGUCACACUACAUAUACCACUCAAGAUGAAUGUCAGUUCCCUCAUAGAUGUUCCCUCUGCUACAUUUUCCUAUGUGAUGGGUGAUACUUCAAAUUUGCUUCCGACCCGAAAGCUUUCAGCUAUUUCAACACUCUUAAUAUCCCACAAGUACACAGAGAACUGCCUUUCUACUCUGGCUGUUUCUGCAUAGCCUCAGUGUCCUUCUCCCAGCUGCCAUGCCUCUAUGACAGGCGAGGGCACGCUAACACUGAAGUGCUGUGGGAGUGGGCGAGUGGAAGUGGCAGAACUCUCCAGCAUGCAGACAGCAACGGACAUGAGCUGAGACUGAACCAGCCACUACUGCUGUGUGUCAUUAGCAGUGCUGAGCCCAAGAGGCAAAAUGGAGAAGAAGCUUGGACUGGUAUCUCCCAGUUAAACAGUAACAACUCAGUGGAUUCAUUACCUUCAUGCUAUAGUCCCAUUCCUCAUAAAACUAUUUUGCUUAUUUUAAAGAUAGAAAAAUACUUUGUGGCAUCAUUUAGCAAUGCCUUCCAUUGCAAAAAUACGUGGCAGAAGGAAAGAAGUUAAGAGAGCAGGCAAAAGAUUCUCUGUAGGUGUAAGCCAGAGCACUAACCUGGUUGCUGAAUGUGUUCUGACUUAACUUACAGUGGCAAGCAUACGUUAAAGGGUCAAAGCCUCUAAGAUGCCAAGAAGCUGAAACUCCCUGUGGUCCCAACCUGUCAUGUGCCAGGCUGUUCAAUCCCCACUGCCUCCAACAGGAGUGAAAGACACUCUUCCAAUGUGGGAACUUCAAGUGGGGUACAGGUGCUAGGAAGGAUCUGACAACAGUGUCAAGACAGUACCCUUCAGGAGACUUGGUCCCUGGUACUCCAGAUCAUGACUAUUUGGCUCAAGUUUGGUUUUUACGUACAUUCAGGAGUAUUUUUCCCAUCUGCUAACAGGUAACAGAGAGAGGUACUGUGCUGAGGACUUGGAUCCAAACACAGAGAUAAGACUUCCAGGUUCCUAGAUCCCAGGUUUUUCUGUUUUCUGGGAAUUCAAAGUGCACAGAAGAUGGAUUUUCCAGGCAAUCUUAAUAGUCCUUCUGCUUUUAAGGCUCAAGUGAAAUUUGAGUUCUUUUACACAGAAAGUAUUUUGGAAUCUUUUUUCAACAUCUAUAAAGUGACUCACUGAGAUUACAAGAAAAAGGAAAUGACUGGUAGCAUGUAACUGCUGAAAGAAAGGAAAAUCCCCUCCUGCUUUUUUGUUUGUUUUAAAUCAAAUGCAUUAUUUGAAAAUGAAGGGCAUGGCCAAUAUAGAAACGCUCAACAAUUGACCGUUAAAGGGACAAAGUGAGCUUUUUAUUCAUGAUGAUUUUCUUCAAAACAACUGUCAAUUCUGUUGACGUAACAUCCACAAGCACUGUCAUGAAUUCCAGUACAUACUUAAAACUUGCACUUGAAGAACAUAUUGCAUGU